UACGUAGGGUGCAAGCGUUGUCCGGAAUCAUUGGGCGUAAAGCGCGCGUAGGUGGCUUCGUAAGUCCGUUGUGAAAGUCAAAGGCUCAACCUUUGAAUGCCGAUGGAUACUGCGAAGCUAGAGUACGGAAGAGGCGCGUGGAAUUCCUGGUGUAGCGGUGGAAUGCGCAGAUAUCAGGAGGAACACCAAUAGCGAAGGCAGCUCGCUGGGACGUUACUGACACUAAGGCGCGAAAGCGUGGGGAGCGAACAGG
rnacentral:rRNA from 1 species